AUGGUGCCGCUGAUGCAAAAGGUUUUUGUACGGCGGCUCAAUGAGUUUGUAUCACUGUGGUACACAUUCGGUGGAGGAACCAGACUGGAUAUUGGAAGUGUUGUCCGUCCCACCCUGACGGUGCUGCCCCCCUCCAGCGAGGAGCUGCAGCAGGGGAAGGCCACGCUCAUAUGUCUGGCCAACAAGGGCUUCCCCUCAGACUGGAGUCUGGCCUGGAAGGUGGACUGCAGCAGCAGCAGCAGCAGCGGGGAGGAGAGCAGGAGCCCCGGGGUGCUGCAGAAGGACGGCCGCUACAGCUGGAGCAGCACCCUGAGGCUCCCUGCAGACCAGUGGAGGAAGGUGGGCUCUGUGACCUGUGAGGCCACCCAGGGCUCCCAGACUCCAGUCUCAGAGACACUGAGGAGAGACCAGUGUUCCCAGUCCUGACCUGACUCACUGGGACUCUGCUACUGGUUUUACUCUGCUACUGCUCUCACUCUGAUCUCUAAUCAGAACAGUGUAACAUUGUGUAACUUCAAACUGUAACAACUGCAUUAUUGUAGUACUGAUGACUUAGAUGCUUCAAACAAUAAACAUUUUCUCUCUUGAAAUCAAAUAUUUUUUCUGUGGAUGUUUGACACCAACAAUACAUGCAGGAUUAUAACUCUUUCUUGAUCUUAAUCUUGGGAUUAUAUAAAGUAUUGUUACAUAUCUAUGAAGUCUUUGAGUCUCAACUGACAGUGUGUCUGUUUAGCAGUGGUAUCAUAAAUCAUUGUGUAAAACAUGGUGUUAAUGGAAGGAUGAAAGGAUCCCAUAAUUUUAAAAUCCUUUCAAAAUGUAGUUUACAUUAAUAGAGUUUUGAGGAUUAGAAACAAAGUGCAGAGUAUUGUCAGCAAAAGAUGAUAUCACCUGGUUCUUCUUUUACACCAAAGGUUUCCAUGUCAGUAUGUUUGUUGCAUGUUUCUUUAAGAAUACCAAAAGAACACCUCUGAUGUGUUUUUAUUU